UAAUAAAUGGCAAACACAAGAAAAUAUUGAGUUUUGUGGCAGAUAGAAGCAGCCUCAAAGGCUGCUUUUACUCCGUCACUCGUCAAUACCCUUAUCUCCCCUCCUGCGUCACGACUUGCUCUGCUGAAAUUACCGCACCAUAACCACGUCAUCUGCCCCAAUGAGCACAUCUACGGGCCGGGGAACCAGCGCAGAAAAGGAGUAAGUUUAAUUGGUCGCCAGAUGAAACGGCCUUCUUACAUCAAAUUCAUGAAAAAAUACGUAUAAUCAGAGGGUGUUAUAGGAAGAGUAUCACCCCUGAGGAUAAGAAGAGAGCGUGGACUGAAGUGGCAGAAGCUGUAACAAGUGCCUUCCCUGGGAGUGGACCCCGUACGCAGGAUGACUGUGAGAGGCGUUGGUACAACGUACAACAAAAAUCAAAGCCUCGCAUUGCCAAGUGCAAGAAUGAGCAGCGGCAGACUGCCCCGCUGCUGUAUUGCUAGAGACCAUCCCAGCACAUUGUUCAUUACUCGUGGUAAAGAUACCAUCAGCUGCUCCGGCAACAGCCACUGCUUCAACAUCUGCUAGCCCUAUGACACCAGCCACUACUUCAUCAUCUGCUGGCCCAAUGACACCUGCCACUGCAAGGGAUGACAAUGAAGCUGCUCCACCACAGUCACCACCUACUUCAUCGGAGUUAAGAAAUGCCUUUCAUAGGGCAGCAGUAUAAUUUUUUGAU